rnacentral:rRNA from 1 species
CUUUACUAUAGCCUGGAAUUGUGUUCGGGCUUCGCUUACGCAGGAUAGGUGGGAGGCUGUGAAGUUCUGCUUGUGGGCAGAAUCGAGCCAACGGUGAGAUACCACUUUAGCGAGGCUAGAAUUCUAACCCUUACCCGUCAUCCGGGAAGGAGACAGUUUCAGGGGGGCAGUUUGACUGGGGCGGUCGCCUCCUAAAAGGUAACGGAGGCGCGCAAAGGUUCCCUCAAGCUGGUUGGAAAUCAGCUUAAGAGUGUAAAGGCAGAAGGGAGCUUGACUGCAAGACCUACAAGUCGAGCAGGGUGGAAACACGGUCUUAGUGAUCCGACGGUGCCGCAUGGAAGGGCCGUCGCUCAACGGAUAAAAGUUA